GCACUACUAAGGUGUCCCACAAUAGGACGAAACAGCUGUCCAGUAC
rnacentral:hammerhead_ribozyme from 1 species